GGAAGGAUCAUUAACACGUUCCAAACAAAACUCUUAAAACAUGUGCGAACCGUUGCGGGAGAGAUUGCGCUCGUCGUAGCUUUCCUGCGUUUAUUGUAUCAACCAAAACCCUAUUAAUUUUACUAGUUUGACAGUUUAAAACCCUUUAAUACGGCAAUUUUCUUGCUGUAUUAAUAACCUUUAUAUAACUUUUAGCAACGGAUAUCUUGGUUCUCGCAACGAUGAAGAACGCAGCGAAAUGCGAUACGUAAUGCGAAUUGCAGAAUUCAGUGAAUCAUCGAAUCUUUGAACGCAAAUUGCGCCUCCGGGCAUCUGCUUGGAGGCAUGCCUCUUUGAGUAUCGGUUUUUAUUUCUGCUACUGCUCGUUGUUGAAAAACAAAUGUAGACAGUAUGUGAAUCUGAGAUGAGUUUUUACGAUUACCUUCGGGUUUCUGUGUAACUCUAAAUAAAUCUGAAAUCUCGUAAAUAUUGCGCAUGAUAAAGUGAGUCUUUGUAUAAUUCAAUGAUACAACGGCGGCGCAAUGUUCAGGUGAAGUACUCGUUACUCUCACUCUGGCAUUGAAAAUGCUCCAUCGUUUGUUCGGAGGAUGUACUUGCAGGACUUAUUGUAUUUGUGUUUAUUACGAGAUUGAUGCGGCAAUAACGAAAGUGAGGCUGUGUCAAUUUUAUUUUAUAUCUGAUCUCAAAUGAGGUAAGAGGACCCGCUGAACUUAAGCAUAUUAAUAAGCGGAGGAAAAGAAACUAACAAGGAUUCCCCUAGUAACGGCGAGUGAAGCGGGAAUAGCUCAACUUGAAAAUUGGAAGGCUUUAUGUCUUCCGAAUUGUAGUCUAUAGAACUGGUGACAGCGUGUGGCCCAGGCCUAAGUCCGUUGGAAAACGGCGUCACAGAGGGUGAGAACCCCGUCUAUGGCUUGGAGAUCCGCCGCGUACGUCGCUAGUUUCUACGAGUCGGGUUGUUUGGGAAUGCAGCCCAAAAUGGGUGGUAAAUUCCAUCUAAAGCUAAAUACUUGCGAGAAACCGAUAGCGAACAAGUACCGUGAGGGAAAGACGAAAAGAACUUUGAAAAGAGAGUUAAAAAGUGCUUGAAAUUGCUAAAAGGGAAGCAAUGGAAAUCAGUAGAUGUGUCAUGCUCAUUUUCCUGUUUGAUAGGUGGCUGGUUGAUGGUUCGGGAGUUUUACGACCUCGGAUUGUUGGCUCUGCUGCUUAUCGGGCAGUCCCUGUGGGUAUGGCCGUGUCAGAUCCGUUUCGGUGUGCAGGAUAUGCGCUCGAAGGAAGGUGGCAGUGAUCCACUUACGUGGUGAUCUGUGUUUACUAUGCCUUCGAGGCCGCGCUGCACUGCUGGAACGGCAGAUUCUCAUCUCUCGAUAGGUGGGCUCCUGGUUGCGUAAGAUGGUGUGUGCUGUGUGUGGAUUGGUAACGGGAAAACAAAGUUUUGCCGUAUCUGGUCCAUGUGCACCAUAUGCUGUCUGAGUUAUCAGCUCUGACGUAAAUGGUUUUCACUGACCCGUCUUGAAACACGGACCAAGGAGUCUGACAUAUAUGCGAGUAUUUGGGUGUUUAAAACCCUGAUGCGUAAUGAAAGUAAAGGCAGGCAGUAGUCUGCUGAGGUGGGACUCUGGCCACCUAGUGUGUUAAGCCAGAUGCACCAUCGACCGAUCGUUCACUUGUGGAGGAUUUGAGUGAGAGCAUAUCUGUUAGGACCCGAAAGAUGGUGAACUAUGCCUGGACAGGGCGAAGCCAGGGGAAACUCUGGUGGAGGCUCGUAGCGAUACUGACGUGCAAAUCGUUCGUCUGAUCUGGGUAUAGGGGCGAAAGACUAAUCGAACCAUCUAGUAGCUGGUUCCCUC
rnacentral:misc_RNA from 1 species